rnacentral:snoRNA from 1 species
CUGCCUGAAAACCUCAAAUUACCUGUGGGGCGGUGCUGCUGCCCGGGGAGGCGUCCAUCUUGCCCAGAUGCGCAGGGCAGACCCAACCCUCCCUUAAUGACACCUUGCCCGCCUCCCGCUGGGGCAGAGGGGAGGGGGCCAGC